GAUGAACGCUGGCGGCGUGCCUAAUACAUGCAAGUCGAGCGAACGGACGAGAAGCUUGCUUCUCUGAUGUUAGCGGCGGACGGGUGAGUAACACGUGGAUAACCUACCUAUAAGACUGGGAUAACUUCGGGAAACCGGAGCUAAUACCGGAUGAUAUUUUGAACCGCAUGGUUCAAAAGUGAAAGAUGGUCUUGCUGUCACUUAUAGAUGGAUCCGCGCCGCAUUAGCUAGUUGGUAAGGUAACGGCUUACCAAGGCAACGAUGCAUAGCCGACCUGAGAGGGUGAUCGGCCACACUGGAACUGAGACACGGUCCAGACUCCUACGGGAGGCAGCAGUAGGGAAUCUUCCGCAAUGGGCGAAAGCCUGACGGAGCAACGCCGCGUGAGUGAUGAAGGUCUUCGGAUCGUAAAACUCUGUUAUUAGGGAAGAACAUAUGUGUAAGUAACUGUGCACAUCUUGACGGUACCUAAUCAGAAAGCCACGGCUAACUACGU
rnacentral:rRNA from 1 species